UACAGAGGGUGCUAGCGUUGUUCGGAAUCAUUGGGCGUAAAGGGCGUGUAGGCGGUUUGUUAAGUCAUGUGUGAAAUCCCUCGGCUCAACCGGGGAACGACGCAUGAAACUGGCAAGCUAGAGUACCAAAGAGGGGGGUGGAAUUCCCGGUGUAGCGGUGAAAUGCGUAGAUAUUGGGAGGAACACCAGUGGCGAAGGCGGCUCACUGGGCCGGACCUGACGCUGAGGCGCGAAGGCGUGGGGAGCGAACGGG
rnacentral:rRNA from 1 species